rnacentral:lncRNA from 1 species
UUAUGCAAAUGAUGCAUGAAGUGUUUGUGCAUAUGCUUUGUUUUUAUUUCAAAGAAACUCGGGGGUUUUAUUUGCAAACUUUGAAAUAUUGAAGCAUUUUGAAUUCAAUGAAAAAAAUCUCAUUGAAUAAUUCUUUGUCUGAAUUUUUUUUUUUUUUUUUGCAAAGAAACCCCUUAAGUUCCUAAAUUUUUUUUCCAUUUUUUGAUGAUAUGGAUGCAGAUGAAUGCAUGAAUGCGUGAAUGCAACAAUCACACUCAAGGAUCAAGCAAGUCACACCAGACAAAGGUCAUGGGAAAGCUCAUUGUAUCCCUAAUAU